CAUGAUAAGAUUCGGUUUUUAUUGAUGGCGAGUGGCGGACGGGUGAGUAAUAGGUAGGAAUCUGUCCUAGAGAGCGGGAUAACCCGAGGAAACUCGGGCUAAUACGGCAUAAUAUUGAGAAAUCAAAGGCAGGGGACCCGAAAGGGCCUUGCGCUCUGGGUUGAGCCUACGUCGGAUUAGCUAGUUGGUGGGGUAAGAGCCUACCAAGGCGACGAUCCGUAGCUGGUCUGAGAGGAUGACCAGCCACACUGGGACUGAUACACGGCCCAGACUCC
rnacentral:rRNA from 1 species